GUCUCUUGGUACGCAGCUGUGAAGAGGACACUCCGCAGACUCGGUGCCCACCAGCGGCCUCCCCUGUGUCCCUGUGACCGUGGCGGCAAACUUUUAAAUUCUCACCCUAAAGUACCCAGAUUCCCUCUUUUUCUGGAUCAGGACUAUUUUUCUAAAAAUUUCAAGCCUUCAGCCUCCUCUUCCAUCUUUGGAAACUGGCACAGCCUUUGGCUAGUCUCAUCAUAGCUCCUUACCCUCUUGCUCUUUCUAGACCAUUUGGGUAAGGGAGAGGCUUUAGUGAGGGUAAAGGAGGGCAGGAAGGUUUUCUUUUUUGGAAUUCUACCCUUUUAUCUUUAAAAUUUGUACUCUUUCACUGUUUGGCUUGGUCUGCUGCUGCUACUACUCAACAGGAUUCAUAUAUUGUUGAUAAUCCUCCCAGCUAGCACUAGUGUAAUUUUUAGACUUCAUGCUAAAAGGCUUUCUGUCUCCUUUGCCCACCUUGAUUUAUCUUACACAUCUCCUCUGUUAAUUUCCCUUGGUGCUGCCAUGUGCGGGAACUAUGUCCCAAUUCUGAGGUUCCCCCUAACCCCCCAGCUUAGAGAGGCUAAGGCUAUUCCCUGUGACUCAGAUGCCCCUUUUACUUUCCUAUCCAACUUCUGCUCAGCCUUUGCAAUUUACCUCUUGGGUCAGCUCCUCAAAAC
rnacentral:lncRNA from 1 species